CAAGACAACUUUACGGAGUUGACGAUUGACGGAGCGAAGCGACGUCAAAGCGUUCAUUAAAGUCGAGUUGGCUUAGGGAUACGUUCGUUGGGUAGGGGAGCGUUCUGUAAGCCUGUGAAGGUGUGUCGUGAGGCAUGCUGGAGGUAUCAGAAGUGCGAAUGCUGACAUAAGUAACGAUAAAGCGGGUGAAAAGCCCGCUCGCCGGAAGACCAAGGGUUCCUGUCCAACGUUAAUCGGGGCAGGGUGAGUCGACCCCUAAGGCGAGGCCGAAAGGCGUAGUCGAUGGGAAACGGGUUAAUAUUCCCGUACUUGGUGUUACUGCGAAGGGGGGACGGAGAAGGCUAUGUUGGCCGGGCGACGGUUGUCCCGGUUUAAGCGUGUAGGUGUGUGUUCCAGGUAAAUCCGGUUCACUUUAACACUGAGGCGUGAUGACGAGGCACUACGGUGCUGAAGCAACAAAUGCCCUGCUUCCAGGAAAAGCCUCUAAGCAUCAGGUAACAUCAAAUCGUACCCCAAACCGACACAGGUGGUCAGGUAGAGAAUACCAAGGCGCUUGAGAGAACUCGGGUGAAGGAACUAGGCAAAAUGGUGCCGUAACUUCGGGAGAAGGCACGCUGACACGUAGGUGAAGUGAUUUACUCACGGAGCUGAAGUCAGUCGAAGAUACCAGCUGGCUGCAACUGUUUAUUAAAAACACAGCACUGUGCAAACACGAAAGUGGACGUAUACGGUGUGACGCCUGCCCGGUGCCGGAAGGUUAAUUGAUGGGGUCAGCGCAAGCGAAGCUCCUGAUCGAAGCCCCGGUAAACGGCGGCCGUAACUAUAACGGUCCUAAGGUAGCGAAAUUCCUUGUCGGGUAAGUUCCGACCUGCACGAAUGGCGUAAUGAUGGCCAGGCUGUCUCCACCCGAGACUCAGUGAAAUUGAACUCGCUGUGAAGAUGCAGUGUACCCGCGGCAAGACGGAAAGACCCCGUGAACCUUUACUAUAGCUUGACACUGAACAUUGAGCCUUGAUGUGUAGGAUAGGUGGGAGGCUUUGAAGUGUGGACGCCAGUCUGCAUGGAGCCGACCUUGAAAUACCACCCUUUAAUGUUUGAUGUUCUAACGUGGACCCGUAAUCCGGGUUGCGGACAGUGUCUGGUGGGUAGUUUGACUGGGGCGGUCUCCUCCUAAAGAGUAACGGAGGAGCACGAAGGUUGGCUAAUCCUGGUCGGACAUCAGGAGGUUAGUGCAAUGGCAUAAGCCAGCUUGACUGCGAGCGUGACGGCGCGAGCAGGUGCGAAAGCAGGUCAUAGUGAUCCGGUGGUUCUGAAUGGAAGGGCCAUCGCUCAACGGAUAAAAGGUACUCCGGGGAUAACAGGCUGAUACCGCCCAAGAGUUCAUAUCGACGGCGGUGUUUGGCACCUCGAUGUCGGCUCAUCACAUCCUGGGGCUGAAGUAGGUCCCAAGGGUAUGGCUGUUCGCCAUUUAAAGUGGUACGCGAGCUGGGUUUAGAACGUCGUGAGACAGUUCGGUCCCUAUCUGCCGUGGGCGCUGGAGAACUGAGGGGGGCUGCUCCUAGUACGAGAGGACCGGAGUGGACGCAUCACUGGUGUUCGGGUUGUCAUGCCAAUGGCACUGCCCGGUAGCUAAAUGCGGAAGAGAUAAGUGCUGAAAGCAUCUAAGCACGAAACUUGCCCCGAGAUGAGUUCUCCCUGAGACUUAGAGUCUCCUGAAGGAACGUUGAAGACGACGACGUUGAUAGGCCGGGUGUGUAAGCGCAGCGAUGCGUUGAGCUAACCGGUACUAAUGAACCGUGAGGCUUAACCUUACAACGCCGAAG
rnacentral:rRNA from 1 species